ensembl:lncRNA
GCUCACGUCCAGAGAAUCUUUGGCAGCGCAACAGAAAUGCCAGGAGACUGUUCUGGAGGCGCAGCAGCGACAGUUGAUUAAGGCCCACACGGAGGCCACCAGCAAGCUACUCAGUGAAAAAGACUGGAAGGCUGGCUAUGACGCACAGAGGGAACUAAACGACGCCUUGGAGCUGAAGAACAAUGAAUGGAAAGAGAAUAUCCUCAGUGUAAUGAACAGUCUCAAAGAUCUUGACGCCUGUAAGGCAAACUACAAAUCAAUGAAGACAGAUAUAAAAGUUGCAACCAGACUGAAUAAAACUCUCGAAAAGCAACACAAGACCCUGGGAAACAAGUUCUCAAAAGAGCAGAAGUAUGAGGAAAAACACAACGCAAUAAAGUCCGAGAGCGAAACCCUGAUGGGUGAAAACUGCACUCUUCAGCGUCAGGUUGAGGAACUGCAGAGCACCCUUCAGGGAACGCAUGGCAGAGAACGAGAUCGAUAACAGACAAUUGGACGUUCUCGAGGAGCAAGUGUCCUCCGUCGCAUGUAGAAAGGGUGCACCGGAAAAGGCCUUGGUGGUUUGAACCCUCGCCGGCCGGUCCCGAACAAGACACCUAACCACCCUUAGGCAUCCCAUUGAAGUAACAGCUAUGGUUUUCUCCUGGGUUUUCCUUAAAAAUGACCGUACAUGGGUGUCUACUGUGCUGAUGUAGCAUAAUUUGACACACAUUCUCUUAAUCGAUUCACACAUUUGUGACAUUUGCAAUGCACAUUUGGGCAGUUGAGUUUUUUUCCUGCAGCAGGUGUUCACACCUGUACUUGGUCCUCUGCUGUGCUAAUGUAAGGUCAUUUUACAUUCCAUUUAGACAUGGACGGUUUUCUCCCGGUGCUCCGGGUUUUCCUCAAAAAUAAUCUUUCUUAAUCGAUUAAUACAUUCGUUCCGCUAUAAAAGUAGAGUCCAUCACUUAUCCGACAGUACGGUUACAGAACCAAGGCUGUGCGUAGAGGUAAGCGCCACAGCGAAAGCACUGUCUGAAAUAAUUACACUCCUGGCAAAAAGCGCCUAAUUAGAUUUGGACCGUAGCGUCCACACCCAACAAAAUGUCACGCCAAGUUUUCUUAAAAACUCGACAGCCCCGAUAUGAAGAUUGAAAGAAUAUUGAACUACGAGCGUGGCGCAGCGGCAAAAAACACUAUUCGCCCCAAAAAAUUUAAGUUGUUUUAACUAGGCCAUACAUUUUGUUAUCUGCUCCAUAUGUUACCAGGGCCAGAGUAAUACUUCUGAUUGGACAGACGGACUGUCUGUCUGUCUUUCAACAGGAAAUGACACAGGGUCUCAAGUGUCAUGCACUCCCACCACGCAUCCAAUUCCUCACGCCAAGGAAUCGGUCUACGGUGUCGGCCAUAACGUCCGCGGUACCCCCCCACGUAGCGUCCACCUCCUUUUAUUUACUUUUAUGUACAACACCUAAAUAUAAUUGAACAACAAAACACCGGUAAAACAAUGGUGAAAAACUAGUAGGGCACUUUUAAGACACUCGUAAAACAUCGCCAUCUCUCCGUGACUUUCUGCUGCGGCUCUCCUGCUGCGCUCACUUCCACCCCUCAUCACAGGCUCUCCCGCCACAGAUUUAUUGAUUGCCAUAAUAUCUAGAAAGCGGCAUUUCUCAGCUUUCAGAAUCCGAUAGUGCAAAUAGUUAAGGAGUCACGGUAAUUUGAAUCCUCCAUGUCACUUUUCGUCGCCGGCGAUAGGCUUCAUAAUUAGGAGUCGGUAUUCCAGGAAGAGGAUAUUGAUAAAGCAUAUGAAAAUUUUCUGAAUAUCUUUAAAUUAUUAUAUGACAAAAACUGUCCAUUGAAAAUGUUCUCUCAAGCCAGGCCCAGAUGGGGGGCCCGACAGCGAGCGUCUGGUGGCCGGGUUUGCCGGCUCUGGAACCACAUUCCUGGAUAGGGGACGGACUCCCGGCUGAGUGCUGCUACAUUGGAGUUUACUCUGGUGGACACCCGGUACGCCUUCGGGUGGUGGGGGGGGGAAACUCUGACUGUUGUCUGUGCAUAUGCACCAAACAGCGGCUCAGAGUAUUCAGCCUUUUUGGAGACCCUGAAUGGAGUCCUGCAUGGGGCUCCAGUAGGGGACUCCAAAGUAUUACUGGGAGACUUCAAUGGGCACGUGGGAGACGAUGGAGAUAACUGGAGAGGCAUGAUUGGGAGGAAUGGCCUCCCUGAUCUGACCCCGAGUGGGUGUUUGUUACUGGACUUCUGUGCCAGUCACGGAUUGUCCAUAACAAACACCAUGUUCGGACAUAAGGAUGUUCAUAAGUGUACGUGGUACCAGAGCACCCUAGGCCAAAGAUCAAUGAUCGAUUUUGUAAUCGUAUCGUCUGAUCUGAGGCCGCAUGUUCUGGACACUUGGGUAAAGAGAGGGGCAGAGCUGUCAACUGAUCACCAUCUGGUUGUGAGCUGGGUCAGAGGAUGGGGGAUGACUCAGCACAGACCUGGUAAACCCAAGCGUGUAGUGAGUGUGAACUGGGAACUCCUGGAGGAGGCCCCGGUCCAAAAGAUUUUCAACUCACACCUCCGGCGGAGCUUCUCUUACAGUCCUGUGGAGGUAGGGGACAUUGAACCAAAGUGGUGUAUGUUCAAAACCUCCAUUGCUGAAGCCGCGGCAGUGAGUUGUUGCCUCAAGGUCUUAGGUGCAUCAAGGGGCGGUAACCCUCGAACACCGUGGUCGACACCGAUGGUCAGGGAAGCCGUUCGACUGAAGAAGGAGGCCUUCUGGGUUAUGAUAUCCGGUGGGACUCCGGAGACAGUUGCAGUGAACCGACAGGCUCGAAGGGCAGCAGCCUCUGCCGUGAUGGAGGCAAAGCAGCGAGUAUGGGAGGAGUUUGGGGUAACUAUGGAGAAGGACUUUCGGUCGGCACAAAAGUGUUUUUGGAAGACCAUCCGGCACCUCAGGAGGGGGAAACGAGGAACCAUCCAAGCUGUGUACAGUAAGGAUGGGGCCCUGUUGACCGCGACUGAGGAGGUUAUCGGGCGGUGGAAGGAACACUUUGU